AAAGGUAACAGCUCAGUGGUAGAGUGUGUGCUUAGCAUGCAUGAGGUCCUAGGUUCAGUCCCCAGUACCUCCA
rnacentral:tRNA from 1 species